rnacentral:rRNA from 1 species
UACGGAGGAUCCAAGCGUUAUCCGGAUUUAUUGGGUUUAAAGGGUGCGUAGGCGGUUUGAUAAGUUAGAGGUGAAAUCCCGGGGCUUAACUCCGGAACUGCCUCUAAUACUGUUGGACUAGAGAGUAGUUGCGGUAGGCGGAAUGUAUGGUGUAGCGGUGAAAUGCUUAGAGAUCAUACAGAACACCGAUUGCGAAGGCAGCUUACCAAACUAUAUCUGACGUUGAGGCACGAAAGCGUGGGGAGCAAACAGG